GGCCUCCCGCGGGCCUAACAAAGCGGAACAGCGGGUGACGGCGACCACCUAAAACGCCUA
rnacentral:ncRNA from 1 species